GCAUAAUCACUUGCCCAUUAAUUGUGGGCUAGAAUGAAUGGAAAAACGAAGUAAUAGCUGUCUCUAGUAAUUAUAUAAAAACUAAUAUUCCAGUGAAGAAGCUGAAAUAAAAUCACAGGACAAGAAGACCCUAUAGAGCUUUAUUUUUAACACAUAAAAUACUAAUGUGGAAAAAUUCAGUUGGGGCGACUAAGGAAAAAAUCAUCCUAAAAUACGUAGACAACAAGUCAAAUCAAAGAUCCUAAAAUUAGAUCAAAGAAACUAGCUACCUUAGGGAUAACAGGCUAAUCCUCCUGGAAAGUCCAAAUUUAUAGGAGGGU
rnacentral:rRNA from 1 species